UCUAUUGUAUCUCUUUUUAUCUGUGCCAUCUACUACAAUUUUCUAUGGGAAUGUCCGUGUCUAUGUUCACUCGCAUACCUAUUUUAAUGUCAUAUAUUGUUAGGUCUUUGGAGAAGCUAAACUUACUCUAGCCCCGGCGCCAUUUUAAUUGCUUUUGGGUGCGGUUACACAUUAUUUCGUAUCCUGUUUAUUCAGUAGCACCACUGAUUUGUGUUUUUCUAAUCUUUUCUACAGAUUGCCCGAUAAAUGAAAACACAGUGUAUUUAUUUCAAUACUGUUAAAUAUCGACAAAUGGAUGUGUGCAUGCGAUUCUUCCUGCACUUCGUUUGCUGAUGUAUUCUUCACGUGAUAACAGUACAAUUGUGCUUGGUAAGAAGAAAUGGUUGCUACUGCUUAUGGAAGGACUUCAUAAUAAGUCGAUUGAUCAAUAAGAAAAACAUCAUGGAAUGACGUUAUGCAAUUCUUUCUGCACUUCGUUGGCCCUUGUCUUCUUAACAUUAUUAAGAACAUUAUCAAAACUUCAGACUACGUAGUUGGACAUUAAUUGCAAUGGUCAUUUCAUUUUACUCCAAACGUUCUGAUGUCUGUCCACAGAAAACCAUCUGAAAACAAAACAGUGUUUACAAGUAUGUUGUUUUUAUUGGGCCUGAUUCUUGAUUGGUUGUUAAUGUCUUCACCUUGCAAUAUUAUUCAGUUAAUUUUCAAUUGGAAAUGUAUGGACCACUGAAAUAAAUUCAUAAUAUGGUGUAAAUAUUAGAAUGUUACAUUCUACAGACAAUUAAGGAACAUCAUAAAAAUUCCAGAUGACAUGUGUUACAGAAUAGGUAUGCAUCAUAUCAGUCCUUUUUGCAGUUUGUUGCUGUUACUAAAAGAAGGAUUAACGACGUAGAACUGGUUGGUCAUCACUCAUAACCAUCGUCAGUGUAAGUCGUCAGUCCUAAGAUGGUUGGAUAUGUCCCUCCACUUUUUCCUAAUGAGAAAGAAUUGAAGUUAACUUUGAUGAUACUGAUACAACCAGUGUCUACAAAGGUGUUCUUCUUCUUGGACUUGAUUCAAGAUUGACAUGUUCACCUUGCAACAUUAUCCAGUCAAUUUUCAAUUGGUAAUUGGAAAUUUAUUUGGACUCCACUGAAACAAAUUCUCUGUGAUGGCAUACAUUCUACAGUUAGUUAAGAUCGACGGUGGAGAAGACAAAGAAGAUCCCGUAGUUAAA